CGAAACAACGUUUAAGACCAAUUUAGAAAUUUAAGCAAUAAGAAUUUUGGAAGCACGUCUGACAUCGAGAAAGUGCCGCGCUCAGCUCUCUUCAACAGUCCAAUCGACACCAGACCUAAAAUCGUAACGAAAGGAAGUCUUUUUAUUGAUUUUUUGCUACUUUAUUAGCUUUCGCUGUGAAUGGAAUGAACCUUUCAUCACUGGUGACAAGAAUCUUUCAUCACACUUUGAAGAACGUUUCCAAAAUAGCUGUUUUCAAACCUUAUAUGAAUGGUUUGCAAAUCGAUGAUGAUAAGCAAAUCAUCUCUGGUUUGUAAGCUUAAAACACAUUAUGUAUCUAAAUAAUGAAAAACAACACUCAUAAGUUAAAAUUUUUUUAAUACUUGCAUGGCGCCCAAUAUCUAUGUAGUUUUUUGCCUUCUGAAAUGCUUUCUUUUUAGAAAUCGUACAGGGGAGUUACAGCCUAACCGAAAUCCACGAGUUGAAUGCCAAAGGAGUGCUAAUAAAUGCAUAUCGUCAAAACGGAAGACUACCCAAGAUAAUUAAGCACAUUGUGGGAUAAUUUAGUAUAUACAAAAUAAUUAAGAGCAUUGUGGAAUACUUAAGUAUAUCCAAAAUUUAUAAGAUAAUUAAAACCGUUAUGGCAUUUUAAAUACAAAAGAAGAUUUUCCUA